AGCCACCGAGCAGGGCUUCCUCGCUCUGGCAAGAUCAGAAAGAUCCCUCUUCUUCCCGCCAAGGUUUGGGGGUCCUAAAUCAAUUCCCCUCCCCUCUCCCCCUCCUCCCCAACAUUGACUUGCCCUUCCUCUGUUUCUGCCUCAUCGUCCCUCCCCAAUUUGCCUUUCUUGCUGCCUCCCUGCUCUCCCUUUUUCUCAUCCCUCCACCUAACCCUGGCCACAACGGCAUGUACUUCUGGCUCAACCCGCAAGUACCCCAAGCAGAACAUGUAUGGCCAUCGCCUCCCGAUGCCCAGUCCCAGCGUGACCCGGGCAGGUGUCCCUGGAAGAUGGCAAAGCUAUCCAGAGCCACCUUCCUCAGCAUUCCUAACCUCCCACUAGCCAGCCUGGAAAAGGAUUGGGUCCCGUGGCCUUGGCCAACCCCCUUCUGUCUGGCUCUGCUAGUUUUCCUUAUUGAAGACACAUGGGGUGAGGGGAUGGGUGCUGCCUGCAAUCAGGUGGUCAUUCAACUCACCCCGCCCCCAGCACAGGAGACGUAAAACGCAUAGGAGGUCACUAGCCACACAAGGCAGCAGCACACUCGCCCAGCAGGUGCUGAGCUGCUGAGCAGGUGACAGGAGUUCGGAGAGAAGAGACUGGAGGCCCAGGAGGACCACAAGGAGGCGGUGGCAAAGAGCCUCCCAUCCAGGAAGAGAGACAGCACGUUCCAGGAAGAAGCACAGAAGCAAGAGGGACACCUUCAGCUGGAGAAGCUCCAACUCGGGCCCGAGCCAAGGGUGUGUCCGCAUGUGGCCUUGGCCGGAGACUAGACGCAGGCACAGGAAGUCCACUCGGGCAGCCUCAGGACUUUGAAGAGGCUGAGACGUAUCUGGAAGGCCAGUGAGCGCCUGUGAGAAAAUUGAAGGAACUUCAAAUCAUUCGUUCAGAAAAAAUUUAUUGAGCAAUUACUAUGUUCUAGAAACUUGGCUCGAGUGCUGGGAAUACAGGCUACGCAACUGACAUAGCUUAGUCGUGAUUCCACUUUACCCGGUAAUCUCUGCCUGACUCCAGUCCUGCCACCUGCCACUCCCUGCUGGGUCUCCUGAGGCAAGCACACAUAGAAACACAGCAAUAGAUGUUUAUGUUUCCCGGGAUUGUCACAUUUUGCUGAGCUCAUAACGGAACCGAACAAAUAGCCCUGCCAUCCUCUGUUAAUACGUCUUGUCGUUCACCGAGGGCUUCACUCCCCAUUCUCCUGGGCUCCUGCCGCUCAGAAAUUCGUGUGCCUGGUUGCUUCCCCAACGUGAUCUGGACUAACCUGAUGCAGUUCCCAGGCCUACCCUUCCUGGGCACGUUGAUAGAAUUUUGAGACCAGAGGGACUUCCUCGAUCUGCUCAUCUCACUGAGUGAUAUGCCGCACGAUUGCUUGCUGCUCCAAAAAUCGGCAUUUUAAAUAAAAAAGGAAUGAGCUAAGGACAUAUGAACAAGAGUGACUCUCAAAAGCAUUAUCCUGGGUGAAAUAGCCAGACACAGAAGAACACUAUGGUGUGAUUCCAUUUAUUGGAAAUUCUGAAACAGGCAACCUGAAUCUCUGGUGACAGAAAGUGGGUCAGUGGUUGCCUGGGGCUGGGGCUGGGGUAACUACAAAAAGCCCUAAGGGAGCUUUGGGGGUUGCAAAUGUUCGUGUCUCGGAUGGGUAGGUAGCGGCAUCUGUAUACACAGUUGUCAGAACUCGUAGAAUGGUACGCUUGAAACGAGUGCAUUUUAUCGCGUGUAAAUCAUUCCUGAAGAAACACAUUUUAAAAUUAAGUAAACAGGCAUUUUAUUGCCCAACCAAGAGAUCAAAAGCAGAUCCAAGACUACUCGCAGGCCACUCCGUCCCUCUGGCGAGACGCACAGAAUCCUUUGUACCGUUCCGCAUCUCACACACCCUAUUUUUUUUUUCUUUUGGCAAGAAGUUGGUCUUUAUCAUUUGCACGAAUGGAGGGGAACAAUGGUCUGGAUGAUCUAAAAGGAGAAAAUGCACAAGUCAUUUACAUCCGGGGGCUCUGGAACAGGGUUUGGUUGCCUGUCUGGUAUUUGAAGAGAGAUGUGCCUGCUUGACAUCCUUAAAAUUCACUACAGGGGCGCCUGGGUGGCGCAGUCGGUUAAGCGUCCGACUUCAGCCAGGUCACAAUCUCGCGGUCAGUGAGUUCGAGCCCCGUGUCGGGCUCUGGGCUGAUGGCUCGGAGCCUGGAGCCUGUUUCCGAUUCUGUGUCUCCCUCUCUCUCUGCCCCUCCCCUGUUCAUGCUCUGUCUCUCUCUGUCCCAAAAAUAAAUAAACGUUGAAAAAAAAUUCACUACAAAUGAAAUCAUGAAGUUCCCUACAAAGACCUGAAUUGUUGGAAGCUUGGGAGCACUUCACUUCCCUCCCCACAACCCCACGCCCGCCCCUGCCUGACCCCACCUCUCCCUUCUCCUUCCAAGCAGGAAAUGCAAUGCUUCCCCUGUCCCAGACCUUCCCUCCAGCAGGCGGUCUUGGUCCCUGCCUCUGCCGCUAGGAGAUUUGGUGCCUCCGUGCUAAAAACAGAGGGAGUUGAGAUACUCAAGCUGUUGAAAAAAAGACUCGUAAAUAGGGAGAACAAACUGAGGGUCAAGGGAGGGAUUGUGGCAGGGGGGAUGGGCUAAACGGGUAAGGGGCACUAAGGAAUCUACUCCUGAAAUCAUUGUUGCACCAUAUGCUAACUAAUUUGGAUGUAAAUUUAAAAAAAUAGAAAAUAAAACAAGUUAAUAAAAAAAAGACUUGAAAAAGUGUUCUUGCAAAUCAAGCUGAGUCACCUCCUCGCAGAUAAAUGAGAAAAGGUUCUAUGAAAAUUAGUUUCUUGGAUUUGGGGUGCAGCCUAGCUGGAUUUGGCCCCAGGAAGCCUGUGCUGACA